rnacentral:rRNA from 1 species
UACGAAGGGGGCUAGCGUUGCUCGGAAUUACUGGGCGUAAAGCGCACGUAGGCGGUCUUUUAAGUCGGGGGUGAAAUCCUGGAGCUCAACUCCAGAACUGCCUUCGAUACUGGAAGACUCGAGUCCGGGAGAGGUGAGUGGAACUGCGAGUGUAGAGGUGAAAUGCGUAGAUAUUCGCAAGAACACCAGUGGCGAAGGCGGCUCACUGGCCCGGUACUGACGCUGAGGUGCGAAAGCGUGGGGAGCAAACAGG